ensembl:lncRNA
AUGAAGAUCCAGAUUCUCCUGCUGGCCUGUGCUUUUGUGGCUGUGAUCAUUGCCGCACCAUCAGCAAAUGAUUCUGCUAAACCCAAAGCCAUCAAUGAUGAGGUUAAAGCUGAUGUGCCAAAGCCAAAUCUGGCCGGAGUGAAGGAGCCAGAGCAGGACGCCACUGAAGUGAAGGAGCCCAACAUGGAGGAUGACUUAGAAGAUAAUGAGGCCACCGUGGAGGAUGGCACCGAAAAUGAAGAGCCCAACAUGGACGAGGAUUCUGAAGACGAUGAGCCCGACAUGGAUGAGGAUUCCGAAGACGAUGAGCCCAACAUGGACGAGGAUUCUGAAGACGAUGAGCCCGACAUGGACGAGGAUUCUGAAGACGAUGAGCCCGACAUGGACGAGGAUUCUGAAGAUGAUGAGCCGGACAUGGACGAGGAUUCCCAAGAUGAUGAGCCCGACAUGGACGAGGAUUCCCAAGAUGAUGAGCCCGAGAUGGAUGAAGAUUCCAAGAAAGAUGAGCCCAAGAAAGAUGAGGUUGAGCCUAGGCCUGUUAAGUAAAAACCUGAAAUAGCUGAAUCCCUCACAACACCUUGCCUCUGUCACACACCUCAUCUUCAACUCCACGGGUGUCGACAUGAUGACCACAUGAUAUACAAUAAACAGCAUUACAGCACUAUAGCCAACUAAGGUGAUGUACUACAGUCAAGAGAUCAAAUAAAAGCUCCUGACAUGAUGAAACUAAUAUUUGUCUCAGUGUCCUUAUUAAGCUACAUUAAAGGAGAGCCAGUGCAUCUGACGUGCAAGUUCCAUCACCAAAUUGCCUGAAAUUACAUUAAAGCACACCCUCUCUUGUAAUUCUGUGAUCUACACCUAUUACCAACUAAAUAAAAACACAAUGUGCUCAUGUUGUGGGCCAUUUAGCUCUCACAAUAAAAAACAAAAACAAAAAAAACUUUUUGAAAGUGCAAUCUCUGUUUCCAUGGAAAUGCUUGGACUCUGGCAAUUAACUGGAAAACAAACACAGUCACGUCAGUAGGUUCUUAUAUGUAAUGAAACGUAGUUUACUUCUCCAGCAAGUAGGUCAGUCUGUAGUAAGAACCUAGCAACAGACAUGAUCAAGGACCUAGUCCACGCUGAGUCAGCCUUGAGCUUCAAUUUCCCAUACCAAAUACAUAGGACAAAUACCACACUCUCUACCUAGCUCAGUCUUAUUAUAACCAAACGUUUUUUUUUUCACUGACAAUCAUAGAUACAACGUCUGCAAACUCACAUGUAUUCAUUGCCAACUAUGCGUGCAUCAGCUCUGCCGGUACUUUUGCAACCACAAUCAUUCAGGGGGCUUGGCGGAGGCGGGUGACUGAUUUGUUGUGGCAUCACAACCUCACAGGAGUCCUGACAACUUCUCAGAUAGCACACAUACGUAUUGUAGACGUCUGUGCAACACCCAGAGGUUAUAUCUGAAAGGUGUAGUAUGGGGAGUGUUUGCUAAUUGGGAAGAUGUCGUCAAAACAUCAGCGCUUGGAAUGGUGAAUUUAAAGCGCUGAAUACAAAAGAAAAAAAAUAUAAAGGAAUUAAAUAUUAAGCCAAUAAGUAGUAAUUAUAAAAACAGUUCAGAUCGCUAAAUGUCUGGAUAAACAUUAGAAAUGGUUAGCUUUGUAAUAGUUGAACAGGGUAAGCUAACUAAAAGUGAUGGAGGUCAAACGGCCAAGACUAAUUAAUCUAAGGUGACAAAACUUGUUACCUCAUCUGUGAACACUGAGUCACAUCAGGUUGAUUUUCAGCAGCAGGGGUGGUUGUUUAAAUAUUAAGUCAAAAAUAAUUGUGUUUGAAAUAAACAUUUCAAAUUCUUAGUGAAGUAAUGGACAAACAGGGUACAGUAGCUAAAAGGCAUGUAGGCCAAAUGGCGGGCUAAGACUAAUUAAUAAACAGUGGAAAUCAUUAGCCAAAUUAAAUGAAUAAACUGGUCCAAUGGUUAGCUAAAAAAUAGAUGAACAGCGUAAGUUUGCUAAAAGUAAUGGAUGCCAAAUGGUGAGCAAAGAGUAAUGAAUAAACAGUUGAUAGUAAUUAACUGUUUAAAUGGUUAGCUAAAUUAAAUUAAUCACACAUUUCAAAUGGCAUACUAAAAAGUAACAACUAAACACUUAAAACUGCUAGCAAAACAUAAUGGAUGCACUUUUGAAACACUUAAGCGGGGUACACACAUAAGGAUUUUAUAAAUCUUAAGAGAUUUUUUAUCUGUAGAACCCC